rnacentral:tRNA from 1 species
UCCUCUGUAGCUCAAUUGGCUAGAGCGUCUGACUGUGAAUCAGGAGGUUCCUGGAUCGUGCCCAGGCAGGGGAG